rnacentral:lncRNA from 1 species
CUUCCCCUUCUUCCUUUUCAUGACACCACCUUUAGGGUUCAGCUUCCUUUUUGAACCCUUCACGUCUGAUUUCUUCUUAGAGGUCUUACCUACCAGAAGAACUGAAGCCUUAUCUUUUUUAAUAUGGCUCUCUGCUGUUUUGAGCAUAUUCAAUAGCUCAGGCAAUGAAGCACUCAAUUUGUUCAUAUGAAAAUUGACCGCAAACUAAGAAAAUGAUUCUAGGAGUGAUUGCAGGAUCAAAUCCUGACUCAACUCACCAUCCAUCACAAAACCUAAUUGACCCAAUCUGGUGAUCAAGUCAAUGACCUUAAGUACAUGGUCUUGCACAGAUGAUCCUUCUGUCAUUCGAGCACGGAAUAAUUACUUGGAUAUCUCAUACCUUGCAGUUCUACUCUACUCUCCAUA